rnacentral:rRNA from 1 species
UACGUAGGAUGCAAGCGUUGUCCGGAAUUAUUGGGCGUAAAGAGCGAGCAGGCGGUUUGGAAAGUUGGACGUGAAAUUUUAGGGCUUAACCCUAAAGGGUCGUCCAAAACUCCCAGACUAGAGUGCAGGAGAGGAAAGCGGAAUUCCCGGUGUAGUGGUGAAAUGCGUAGAUAUCGGGAGGAACACCAGUGGCGAAGGCGGAGACCUGGGCCGAUACUGACGCUGAGGUGCGAAAGCGUGGGGAGCAAACAGG